rnacentral:snRNA from 1 species
AAAGGAGAAUUUCUUGAACCCGGGAGACAGAGGUUGCAAUGAGCUGAGAUCGUGCCAUUGCAGUCCAGCCUGGGGGACAGAG